GAAGAUGGAGAUGAGUAUCGCAUAUCAGAGGACUCCUACCACUUUAUUACCUUUAAGCUGAAGCCAGAGAAGGGAGGCCCCUUUGUCUAACAAGAGAUUAUUCUGAUGGUUGUUUUAAAGCAGUCUGCAUCAGAAGGAUAGCAAGAAUUUUAAGACGUUCCUUAGGGCUUCAUGUCUUCAUGUUCUGCGGUGAGAGACUCUGCUUGGGGAAGCCUGCAUUCAAAAAUAUGACUCGUUUUCUAAACAGCAAUACAAGCAGCAAGGUUCAGAGCAUGACAGGAGUGAAGAGAACCCACCCAUAAACUGAACAGAGAAGUUUGGAAAGUUAAAGUUGAAUGGAGGUGAUAUCUUGCCAAAUAAAAAACAUGACUCCGGUUGAAUGACUUGGCUCCUAAGAUCACGAAGCUUCUAAGUGGCAAGACCAGAAUUUGCAUUGAGGUCUUCUGAAUCCAAUUCCCU